AGCAAGGAGCCCAAGCUAGUGUGUAAUAUUGAGCAGUUCUGUAUUGAGGUUCACUUCGACACAUGGAUAUGCGAAUUGCUUAUGUACCCCCCUGCUCCCCACUUAUAUUCUGGUUCCAUAGACUUCAAUAAUUCACUUAGUCAGCCCCACCACAUUUCAGUUCUAUAGUUCUAUAACAGGUUCACAAUCUUUGACUUGCAUUGUUCUUCUCCUGUCCUAUUUUGUCACCUCCUUCCUUCAUAGGGUGUUGCACGGCAGUCUCAUCUCAUGCAACAUCCAUAUUUAAUGUUACUUUGUAUUAGAUAUGUAAUGAUUUAUUUUCCUCAUUCUGUUUUCAGUUAUCACGUUGUCUGUCUCCCGUGUCUAGAAAUUCUGUUCUUUUCGACUGAUGGACUUUAAUCAAUUACUAAAUUAAUAAAAUGGUAUGAAAUCACAGAGGAGGUUCCAAAACUCCACUGUGACACAGUAAAACUAAAGGGGAUGGAGAUGCAUGAUCUAAGAGCCGAACAGGACACACACCCACACGCACACAGGUUCACCUUUGAACACUGAUGCUAGUCUUCUUGAGAGGGGUUGGACUAUCUCCACGCUGGAUUAUAUGUGAGUAUAUAGUAUUUAUUGCACCAACCACCGCCCACCCCAUCCCCAUUCUUAGUGCGUAUAUGCUGUAGUGAAGUAAAAAGUAGUCCAACAAAAACAUACUUGAGUAAGAGUGAAAAGUACUGUCAUGGUCCUGCCGGUCCAGCCCUAGCUGUGCGGGUCCCCGCACACCUGCACUGAUUAGGAGGCACACACCUGCGCCUCAUCGGCAGUGGUUAACCCCUGUAUUUAUAGGACCCAGUGGACUAUAUCUUAUAGUCUUUAUAGUCCCUAUCUUUGCCAGAUCGUCGCCACCCCUGGCUCGUUCCCGCACCUCCUAUUCCUGACGCCAACCUCCCGUGUACCAACCAACGCCUGUUUCCUGACUAACCCCUCGUGCAUUUGGGUCCGCCUUCGAGUCCUGGUUAUGACAAGAACUUGGGGAAAUAAUUACUGAAUAAAUGUGAUCAGUAGCACCUAACCGACGGAAGGAGCUGGAAAAGCUGGUGGCCAGGAUGUGGAGGGUCUCUGUUCAACUUGAAGGUCUCGACGGUUGGCACAAGACAGUUAGACAUCGUGAGGAACAGAUGUGGUGAAGGAUGCCUCCUGAAGUCCACAAUCAUUUGUACAGUCUUUGGUGGUCCAGCACAAGGGGCUGAAAGGACUUCAUGACAACAAAUGUCGUGGCAACAGGGCUGUAGUCAUAAAGACCUGAGACAGAUGCUUUUUGGGGACAGGUAUGAAGCAGGCCAAUACCUGGAACAAGCGAGGGGUAUAGGAUCUGAGAGGCCGUGGGGUACAGAACCUACAGUCGCUUGUUUUUGCUUGAUUUGCUUUGCUUGCUUGUUUUUGUUUUCUUCUCCCAGGACCAGUAAAUCAUGGCCUUUAUAUCCAUGCAUCCAUCCAUUUUUUUUCCUCAGAUCCUCAACUUUGUUGUGCCCUAGCAGCUGUUUGUUCAGGUUAUUCAGGUGGUCUGUAACAUCCACCAUAAAUGCAAGGUCCUGCAUCCAUCCUACGGAAUGAAAUACUAACACUUCUCUUCCAUGAACUGUCUAAAUUCUCGUAAAUCAAAGCAACGCUGCAGCACAGCACCUCGGCUUAACCACCUCAGCUCAAUGUGUUAUGGCAGGCCAUAUAUGUGGUCUCUCUCUCUCUCUCUUUCUCUCUCUCGAAGGCUGUCAAACUGACAGUGAUUCACGUUUUUACCCCUUUUCAUGACCACCUCCAUGAAGUUAUCCUCUUGUAACACCAAGCCUCCUGGUGCAAAAUACAGUGAAAAGUCCCCAAAAAAAUCACAUCCUCUAUUUGUAGAUUGCACUUACCCAUGUAACUUACUUACUUAUA